GACGAACCGUGCGAACGUUGUUCGGAAUCACUGGGCUUAAAGGGCGCGUAGGCGGGUCAUCAAGUCGGGGUGAAUACUUCAGCUAACUGGAGAACAGCCUUCGAUACUGGUGGCCCACGAGGGAGGUAGGGGUCGUGUGGAACUUCCGGUGGAGCGGUGAAAUAGCGUUGAUAUCGGAAGGAACGCCGGUGGCGAAAGCG
rnacentral:rRNA from 1 species